rnacentral:rRNA from 1 species
ACUCCUACGGGAGGCAGCAGUGGGGAAUUUUGGACAAUGGGCGAAAGCCUGAUCCAGCAAUGCCGCGUGAGUGAAGAAGGCCUUCGGGUUGUAAAGCUCUUUUGUCAGGGAAGAAACGGUGAAAGCUAAUAUCUUUUGCUAAUGACGGUACCUGAAGAAUAAGCACCGGCUAACUACGUGCCAGCAGCCGCGGUAAUACGUAGGGUGCAAGCGUUAAUCGGAAUUACUGGGCGUAAAGCGUGCGCAGGCGGUUUUGUAAGUCUGAUGUGAAAUCCCCGGGCUCAACCUGGGAAUUGCAUUGGAGACUGCAAGGCUAGAAUCUGGCAGAGGGGGGUAGAAUUCCACGUGUAGCAGUGAAAUGCGUAGAUAUGUGGAGGAACACCGAUGGCGAAGGCAGCCCCCUGGGUCAAGAUUGACGCUCAUGCACGAAAGCGUGGGGAGCAAACAGGAUUAGAUACCCGGGUAGUCC